GGGAAUAUAGCUCAGUGGUAGAGUGCUUGCCUUGCAUGCCAGAAGCCCUGUGUUGGAUUCUCAGUAUUGCAA
rnacentral:tRNA from 1 species